UCCUACGGGACGCAGCAGUGGGGAAUAUUGGGCAAUGGGCGCAAGCCUGACCCAGCAAUGCCGCGUGAAGGAAGAAGGCCCUCGGGUUGUAAACUUCUUUUAUCAGGGACGAAGGAUGUGACGGUACCUGAUGAAUAAGCUCCGGCUAACUACGUGCCAGCAGCCGCGGUAAUACGUAGGGAGCAAGCGUUAUCCGGAUUUACUGGGUGUAAAGGGUGCGUAGACGGGAAAACAAGUUAGUUGUGAAAUCCCUCGGCUUAACUGAGGAACUGCAACUAAAACUAUUUUUCUUGAGUGCAGGAGAG
rnacentral:rRNA from 1 species